CAUCUAGCAUGUGCGCAAGUCAUUGGGUAUUUAUAAUAAACCUAAAGGCGUAAUGAAAGUAAAUAUAUAUAUAAUUUUUAUAAUUAUAUUUUAUAAAGGGAAGAUGGGUAACGUUAUUUAUGUUACCUCGCAUUCCCGGGGCGUCGCAUACUUAUUGCAAGUUGCGGCGCACCAAGAGCGUACACGCUGGGACCCGAAAGAUGGUGAACUAUGCCUGGUCAGGAUGAAGUCAGGGGAAACCCUGAUGGAGGUCCGUAGCGAUUCUGACGUGCAAAUCGAUCGUAUGAACUGGGUAUAGGGGCGAAAGACUAAUCGAACCAU
rnacentral:rRNA from 2 species